ACAGCCUGCAGGGUAGGGGUGAGAAGGAGGGGCAGUGUCACCAAGGACUGCAGGAUCCGACAGAAGGGGCCUGAAAACUUUUCUAGCUGAGGGACUGCUCUUCCUCUAGUGUUUCCAUGGAAACCCAGGCUAAGAACUCCUCCGACGGUGGCAGCUCCAGGAACAGUGCAAGUAUCUGGGGAUAGUGUGAGCAGAAGUAGUAGGCUUCAAGGGGAACUUAAAAAAGGAAAGAGAAUGAGAAUUAGAACUUUCAGUCUUAGCGGAAGAGGCCCAGAGACUUUGAAGAUUCCUUAAGGGCACCUGAGUCUCACCUGCAACCCAGUAGAGGUGAAAUCUGCUUUUCUAGAACAUGUUCACCUGAGUUCUAGCACUGCCUUGUGGAAGCAGUGUAGACAGAAGUGUACAGUGUACAGAAGUCAGAAGAACUCCGAACUAAUUGAGGGAAGAAGGGAUGAGGCCAGCCCACCCCAGCUUGUCGAGUCGAUUUCUUCCUGGUCCCUCCCCAGCCUUGUGCUGUAGAACUCUCUCCCAUCACAACAUCUGGUUAGUCUCCACCCAGAUAUUAUGGAUGCGCUCUGCUUCGUCUCCUGACGGAGGCUUAUAACUUAUUUCCUUGCUUGCUUAGUUUUAAAAAAUGUUUUAUUGUGGACUAUAUGAUCCUUGCAAAAUGGGGCCAAAAUUAUUUAAUUGACUGAAAUAAAAAUGCGCAACAUAAAAGUUGUGAGUUGAGUUUAAUUGGAGGAACUUACUGGGAACUAUAGCCAGAGAGAGAGCCUCUGAGAGGGCUCUGAGGAACUGCUCCCAAGAGGUAAGGGAGAGCCGGCAUAUAUAUGAGCUUAUUGAGGGGGAUACUUUAAGUAGGCAACCAUACAACUCAGUAAAGUUAACUGCUAAUUGCAAACAAACAAACAAACAAAAAAAAAACCAAAAAACAUCCCAGAGAUCUCAAGUUAAUGAUUUUAGUCCUUUUCUAUGUAUGGGAAAAUAUAAGAAUCUGGGAUCAUCGAAAUUCUUCCUUAGAUACACAUCUCCACUAACUAGGGAUCAUAUGCAGAAUGCUGCACCCAGUCUUUUCCCACAUCCUGAAUUUCCCUCAGGGUGCACUGUAGGUGGGUGACUGCAAUAGCUAAUAGCUUGGUCCUUGUAACACUGGAAUGGCAGAAAACUUUUUUUUCCUUUACAAAUUAAAAAUAAUAAAAUGAAAAAGCAAAUGCCCCCACCCCUUGCCUUUAAGGUUAAAAAACAGAAUUAUCAAAAAAACCAAAAAAACAGAACUAUCAGUAUCUUAGGAGUCCCUGAAAUUGCCAUCAACCUCGUGAUUGUGUAAAUCACUCUUUCACUAUAUGUGUAAAACUUUCUUUAUUUUAUAUAUAUAUAUAAAAUAU